rnacentral:lncRNA from 1 species
CUUUAAAGAGGACUGGGGGAGGGCACUUUCUGGGGAGAAGUGCUGUUUUGGGAGCACUGGAAGGAAGGGAGGCAGGUGACUUGCAGGAGCAGACUCAAGGCUAUCCACAAGUGGAAACAAAAGGAAGAAAUAUUCUGUUCCCACAGACUGUCAGCUCAGUUGCCUUGGGUCAAGGACACAGCCUGUUGGAGAAAGGAGAAGUGUAGGGAUUUGGAGGACAGGGAGCCUAGUAAGUAGGAAAGCAGCCAACUGACUUCCCUAUUAGUCAUGGCUUCUCUCCAGCAGACAAAGGAUGCACUUGUUUUCUUGGAGGAGUUCAGGAGACCACUGUCCUCAGCACUGAUUUCCAUUUGUCAGCAAGCCCAGGAGCCUUCCAGGCUGUGGGUGGCAGAGCCUCAGAUUUUGCCUCUAGCAUGGAAUGUCUGAAGGGGGCUGGAUUGGAAAUCAGAAGGACUCCAUCCUAUCCAGCUCAGCUCUGUGAGCCACAAAUGCCUCCAAGCCUCAGAUCCCCCAAUUCCCACCCCAAAAGAGCUGCCUGCUCUCCAGGGUGAAUCUUCUCCCUACUUCCCUGGGGAGGGGGUAUUGGAAAGCUCCUUUGAGUUGGGUCUGCUCUCAUGACCUAGCUAUAAGUAUUUUUUGUGUCAAAAAGCAGCAGAAUCAUUCUCUUUGAUGUUUUGCUAUUUAUUAACUAGGAGGUAAAAUUGAGAUUAUUCCAAAACUUCAAAACCUUUUUAAUUUUGGAUGCAAAACAUAAUUUCCGUAAAUCUAUUAAUUUCCCUGAAUUGGGUCUAGCAAUUUAUUUUUUCUGGUCUGUUUAUGCUCCUGACCCCUUCCAAUCCCCUUUUAAGUCCUAGAAAGUCUAGCACCUUAAGGCCUCACAAAUCCCAUGACUUUUUUGCAAACACUCUUGAAGAUAUAAUCUUCAUAAUAAAAUUCAAUUUGAUUGUGUUAUUUAAUAUUGUCUGAAGGCAUCAUGGAUGACUUAUUGAUUUUUCAAAAUUAAAACUAAGAACAAAGAGAAACCCACCCAAUUGUUUGCAGCCCAC